CUCCUCACUUCACUGACAGUGUUAGAUAAAUGCAUGUCCAGAAUAGCAUUUACCACUCUCUACUGUACAGAGACACUCUUACACUGAGACUGAGGAUGCCUUUAUCCAGUUUUGGACUCAUGUGUUUUGUCAUCCUGCUAUUACUCUUUUCACAAGGGUGUCCUCAGUGUUUCAUACCUCGGCCGCGAAGUUUAGGACAUGUCAAGGUCUCCUGCUGUACCGAAGUUGGAAAUGGUACAAUUAAUGAACCUGUCAAUGAGUGCUUUGAACAGAAGGAAACCAGAUUUCGUCAUUGCAGAGUUCACGCAUUUAUCUUCACUAAAGGGACUAAAAGAUGGUGUGUGGACCCAAAAGCCUGGUGGCUUCAACAAAGAUUCCGGAGGUUGCAGAGCAAUGGAAUAUGUUGUCAGAUACUCUGAGGUGCUUCCGACAGACACACUGAAGACGACACACCAGCGCUUUCCAAGCAGACAUCUCUCUGACAUGAUUUUCAAAUUUUGAAUAUACUCUGCUUGUAAAUGCAUUUUUAACUAUUCAUAAAUUCUCUGUAAGAAUCUUGAGUGUAUAGUUUCAAAAUUAAUGCUUUCACUGCUAAACAGAUGAGUUCAGUUUCAGACAUUCUUACAUUUCAGGCUCCUCGCCACUUCCUGAUCAGCUCUGACUUUUUUUUAUAACCUGGAAUGUGUCAUGCAUUUAUUGCCCAAACUUGCGGCAUCCAUGGCUGCUGGACCAGAUGUUUAAUUCAGUACAAGUAUAUCGUAAAGAAAAUGGAAAUACUCAAGUAAAGUACAGGUAACUUUCUGCUGUAGUGUAAUAUUUUUGGGUACGAUGUGCUAAAAGUAAAAGAUGAUAUAAUUAUGGCAAAUGCUAUUAGACUGAAGAAGAGAGUUGAAACAUGCAUCUGAAAUACAUUGUGAUGAAUAUUCUAGUCAUGACUGAUGUUUUGAUAGCAUUGUGUGUGUCUAUCUGUGGAGGACACACACACAGCUGGGAGAUCAUAAAGUAAAACAUGUAUUUUUGGUGUGAAGACAAAUCGCAUGCUUUUUAGAAAAUUAUCUAGUCAAAACAUAAUGGUGUGAAGUUAAGGCAGUAUAACUUUUAAAAGAGGUGUAUCUGAAACAAAACAAUACAUAAAGGUACAAUAUGCAUCAAAUAGGUCUCAAAAUGAUAGAGGAAAAAAUUGAAGAGGGCCAGAAGCAAAGUCUGAA